UGAGGAAUAUUGGGCAAUGCCCGCAAGGGUGACCCAGCAACGCCGCGUGGAGGAUGAAUGUCGUAAGAUUGUAAACUCCUGUUAGAGGGGAAGAAUAGUACCGGUUGGACCGGUAUAUGACUGUACCCUCAGAGAAAGCCCCGGCUAACUACGUGCCAGCAGCCGCGGUAAUACGUAGGGGGCAAGCGUUGUCCGGAUUUACUGGGUGUAAAGGGCGCGCAGGCGGGAUAAAAAGUCAGUGGUGAAAUCCUACAGCUUAACUGUAGAACUGCCUUUGAUACUUUUAUUCUUGAGUUCGGGAGAGGGAGACGGAAUUCCAGGUGUAGUGGUGAAAUACGUAGAUAUCUGGAAGAACACCAGUUGCGAAGGCGGUCUCUUGGUCCGACACUGACGCUGAGGCGCGAAAGCGU
rnacentral:rRNA from 1 species